GACUAAGUGGCCGAUGAUAGGUAUUAAACUGUAAAUUUAAAAAAGAGUAAUUUUCCUAGUUA
rnacentral:tRNA from 1 species